rnacentral:sRNA from 2 species
UCAUUCGUUCUCUAGGGUUCCGCGAUUGGAAGGUUUUCAAUCGGGCUGGUCCAAGAGGGAACGCACGGCAAGCAGGCAUGCUUGCGGUGUACACGGAGGGAUAAAAGCCCGGGAGGA